rnacentral:lncRNA from 1 species
UAGGUCUGGCAUGACCUUGGCUAGCUAAUACGCCAGACACCAGGGUCUUCAGUGAGGUUGGCCGCCGCGUGAGGGAGCGAUCCACCGUGACGAAUUGACGCCGCAUCCAUGCUCCGCUCUGCCUCCCUCGCCGGUAAUCCCCCUCCUAGUUGCGGUAUCUAUUGGGGUUGGUAGAAGUUCAUACCGUGCCUGAAUUAGAUUCUUGGAGCCUUGGGAAUUGUUCGCCGGUGUUGGAUUUUUCCGUGGAAUCGCCCCUUCACGUGGCCGGGAUCCCCAUUGCGUGUCGCGGCGAGCGAAUUCCUCCAUGGCGCUCCUAAUCGUAUCCGCAUCGUUUUGCGCUAACUAGGGCAAUGGUUUGUCACUGGGAAAAUGUGGAAUGCGGGUCUCCGGCGUGGCGCGCCGCCAUGGGUGGGCAACGCCGCCGUGCUGGUUCAGCUGAAGGAUGACGACAGCUGGUGGUCGUAGAUUAGCCUGUGUGCGGUUGAGAUUAGAUCCUAGCUACCGGUUUGUCUAAGUCGAUCUGCGGCGUUUGUUUCGGAUCUGGCGAGCGUGAUUCGAUCUGGUUAUUUUAAAUCCGAAUCACCCAUCAGGGAUCCGAGGGCCAGGGUUUCUUGGUGGAUCCAUCUAAUCUACACCGUCGAUUCAUCAUCCUGCGGUACAGAUCCCAUAAUACCCUUUCGCCGAGCCAGCUUUGCUAAAGAGCCCCUCUAAAAUUCUGAAAACAACCCGCCGUCCCUCAAUACUGUGUUCUGAGUCUAGGGUUUAAUUGCGCCGUAGCCCCUGCACUCCCCAGAAAUUGAUGUGCAAUCCAAAAACUUGUAAAUUGGUUAAAUAAUUGUGGAAAUAGAUUUUUAAUACAAAAAUAAUUGCUAGAACUUGUAUAAAUCAUAGAAAAUUCAUAUGAACUCUAAAUUGACCCAUUCUAAUUUCUAUAAUUUUGUAAUAUUAUUGUUUAUCGUUUAGUACCACUGUUUUGACAUGAAUGUUACAAUAAAAUUUAUAACCUAUUUAAUCUUGUACAAAACACAUAAAACCUUCAGAAAAUCCAUAACUUAAAAUCUAUAACUCCAAAAUUAAUGAUUCCUGCUCCUAGGAUCUUAUUUUAAUGUGUAGUUUAUUAUUAAGUAUUUUUUUACAUGUUUGGUGUGAUGUUAAUUUUCUCUAUAUAUUGUGCUUGUUUGUAUUGUGGCGAGUAGAAUAGCCAGUGGCCGAGGAUCCCGGGGCUCAGGAGAUAGAAGUUGCUGAGCAGGAGCUCAUUGAAGGCAAGUUGUGCCCUUGAUCACCUUCAUUUACCCAAUAAUGUUCUUUAUAAUCAUUUAUUCAUGCAUAGGCUUAAUCUUGAUGGGACCCAAUAGGUCACCCUAGUCUGUUUAUCCUUUUUACCUUGUUUACCCCUGAAUCAUUUGGGUAGUUUGCUAUUGCUUUAUUGGUUUUGGGUUAAUAUUUCAUUAUAUUCAUGUUCCAAUUAUUCUAUUAUUUUAUUUAUGUUCAUGUCAAGAUCAUUAUCUUUAAUUGGAACAUGGAGCUUAACUUGAGAAACACGUGCCACCACAAGGGUGGAAUGGGAGCAAAUCUAGUGGAACACUACCUUAGCCGAAAGGGGCAAGGGCAGUAGGGGAGUUGCAUGCAGGGAGGUUUCUCGGGUUGAUUUUGCUGCGAUGGUGGUCAGACGGGGGAUUCUUGCAAGUGCUCUUCCCAUAAACUGUAGCGGGUUUUCAGAAGCUAGUGGAACUUUGUAAAGGCCUCGUUGUGGAUCCCUAGCCAUUCACCUCGGUAGUGUCUAAGGGCCUUGCAAACCCUAGCGACAUGGGAUACACGACUUGUGGGUACAGGGUACAACCUCUGCAGAGUGUAAAACUGGUAUACUAGCCGAGAUUAUGGUCAAGAGCAGCUCAGGACUCUCGCAUGAUUAAACUAUGAAACUAAAUUCAAUUUGUCAUAUGCAUUGCAUGGGAUUAUUUAUUAAUUUUGUUCUAUUAUUUAUUAUGGUUUGGUAUUUACUUACAUUUAGUAAUUACUAAUAAAAUUUGACCAACUUAUUAAAAGCAAUGCUCAGCUUUAACCUCUAUUGUUGAUCAGCCUUACACAUCACAUGAACUCCCACCUUUGGUGAGUUCAUGCCACAUUAUUCCCCACAACUUGUUGAACGAUGAACAUGUGUGAGCUCACCCUUGCUGUCUCACACCCCCCAAAGGAGAAGAACAGGUAAUUCAAGAGGAGCCACACAACGAGGAGUUUGAUCUGAUCUAGGUGGCGUCUCCCAGUUGACUUUAUGGCGCCAAGGAUGGACCUUAUUUCGUUUUAUAUUUAUCUUUUAUUUUGUAAGACUUUCGCAAUGUAAUAAGUACUCUGAUGUUUUGUGAUAUUUAUAUCUAUACACUCUGUUAUUAUUUAUGUUGUCUUCUUUGGCGCAUGUAUGAGAUGCACCCGACUUUGUUCCUUAAAACCGGGUGUGACAGAAGUGGUAUCAGAGGAAAUGUUGACUGUAGGACGAAACCUAGAUAGAAAUGGACAAAACCUUUACCUACUUACCUUACUCUGAUUCAUUCUAUACUUAUCUUGAUCUUGUCUCACCUUUUGUUGUCAUACUCUGAUUACUCUUAUCUUUUCUACUCUAAGACAAGAUGGAUUUCACACCUUGGAAUCCUACAUUUAUGACCUUUUUAAGAGAUAGGAGACCUAAGACAAAAAAUUAAACUAUUUUCUCUAUUUAAAAAUGUUGGUUGAUUGUUCUGAUGAUAAAUGCCUGAUUUUCUUCUUUGAUUGAUUGAGAUAUUAUAAAUGGACAUCUUAGCAUGUACCACCAUAAGGUAAUGAAUUGGCUUUAGUAGGUAAAACACUAAUCUACUUAGCUAAUAAAUCCCCCAAAGUAACAUGAUUUGUAAUUACUUGCCUUGUCUACAAUUCUUUCUUACCAUAUGUUUCUAACUCAGAUGGUCAAUACCAGGAAGGGUGGUGGAAUUGAUCUACCUCCCAAUCGACACACCCGAAUGAUAUUUAG